rnacentral:lncRNA from 10 species
UGCAGUUUGAAUUUAUAUUUUAUUAUUUUGAAAUACAAAAAUUUAAAAACAUUUCAAAAUACACCAGUACAUGUUUGUUGUAAAAAUUUCACCUAGGAGGAUAUAAAAUAGAAAAGCCGAAUAUUCCUUCUAACUCUCCCCUCUACCUCAAUUCCCUUCAGAGGUAACACAGCAAAAAAAAACUGGGGAAAAGCAAACAACUUUCCAGACCUCUACUAUUCUAAAACACAAAGAGCAUUACAGCUUGCUAUGCAUUUUUUUUUUUGGGGGGGGGGGGUUGUUUUUUAGAGACGGAGUCUCCCUCUGUCACCCAGGCUGGAAUGCAGUGGUGUGAUCUCGGCUCACUGCAACCUCCACCUCCCCAGUUCAAGCGAUUCUCCUGCCUCAGCCUGCCGAGUAGCUGGGAUUACAGGCACGCGCCACCACGCCCAGCUAAUUUUUGUAGUUUUAGUAGAGACAGCGUUUCGCCACAUUGGCCAGGUUGGUCUCAAACUCCUGACCUCAGGUGAUCCGCCCUACUCAGCCUCCCAAAGUGCUGGGAUUACAGGCGCGAGUCACUGCGCCCAGCUGCUAUACAUUGUUAAACCUUUUGCUUUCUAGUUAAUAUGUCUUAGAGAUCACUGCAUGACCACAGUGCAGCAUCGCUUCAUUCUUUCCAACAGUUGCAUAAGAUCCUGUAGUAUGGAUGUGCUACACUUUAACAGUGCUGCUGUACACAUCCUGUUGUGCACACCCUUGUGCCCAGGUGCACAGUUCUGUUAAAUAGAAAGAUAUGAACAGGUUGAUGCCUCUAUAUAUGAUGCUACAUUGCCUUAAAGCCCUCUCUAGGGCUUUAAAAAGUUUUCGGAACCGUAUCUUUAACAGAGCGGACAAAUCCAGUAAGAUGACAGUUCGUAUACCAUCAUCCAUACCUUACACAUCCUUGUAUUUAUAUCUACUUCAGUGGCUGGCACAUGGUGGACCCUUGAUAAAAGCUUCUUGGAUAGAUAGGCAGAAACUAACUAGACACAGGUAUAAAAUGGAAGCGUUCAUAACCCAAAGUUCCUAAAAUUAGAAGUCAGAUCUUAAAUUGGUUAGUGAAUCAAGAUUCCAUUUGAUCCCAAGUUUUGUACCUCACAUCUAGAAGCUCUGAAAUAUUUCACUAAGUUUCCUCGUUUGGAAGAGUUGUGAGAUGAAUGAAAUUUCUUUCUUUACUGUUGAAGUUUUCUCAAGGAAUUUCAUGAAAUAAAGGGAGAAAGAAAAUGUAAGACUAAAGACUAAAUACUACCUGGACAGAUUAAAGGAGGAAGUUACAGGCACAUUUGCACUCAUCUGGGCUUUACAAAGUGAUAUUAAGUGCAUUUUAAUGUAAAAAUAUACACCAAAUAAACCCCUGCCCUCCACCCAUUCUACAGAUGACAUCCUUGGUGGGCGGCUGGAUAGGCACACAUCUUCACUGGGCUUGGAAUGGAGCCUUUCCUGCAGGCAGUGAGGAACAUGGCAAUUCUGUUCCUGAAGGUCCACAGGCAACUUGACCCAGUUAAGUACCACUGGCCUUGGAAACAAGUAGAUUUAGGCCUGUGAAUACUCCCAAGCUAUGAGGGGACCCUUCAGUCAAAUAUUCACUGAGCAUGUGAGGGCCAGGCCCUGGGAGCUUACUUUUCAAAAGUGUACCAUAAACCAGCUGCCAAGCGAGAAGCUCCCCUGCUCCUGCCUGACAUCCCCGCUUGUAAUGCUGGCCUGGGUCCUGCCUGUCCACUGGUCACUCGAGUCACCAUUCUCCAGCUCCCCACAGACCAGCCUGGGCCCACCUCCUUGCCCUACUGCCUUAGGCUACUCCAACCUAGUAGUAACAGUUUUUGGGGUUUUUUUUUUUUUGAGACAGGGUCUUGUUCUGCUACCCAGGCUGGAGUGCAGUGGCAUGAUCAUAGCUCACCACAGCCUUGACC